rnacentral:rRNA from 1 species
CCUACGGGUGGCUGCAGUGGGGAAUAUUGGACAAUGGGCGAAAGCCUGAUCCAGCCAUGCCGCGUGUGUGAAGAAGGCCUUCGGGUUGUAAAGCACUUUCAGUGGGGAAGAAAGCCUUGGGGCUAAUACCCUCGAGGAAGGACAUCACCAACAGAAGAAGCACCGGCUAACUCCGUGCCAGCAGCCGCGGUAAUACGGAGGGUGCGAGCGUUAAUCGGAAUUACUGGGCGUAAAGCGCGCGUAGGCGGUCUGAUAAGCCGGUUGUGAAAGCCCCGGGCUCAACCUGGGAACGGCAUCCGGAACUGUCAGGCUAGAGUGCAGGAGAGGAAGGUAGAAUUCCCGGUGUAGCGGUGAAAUGCGUAGAGAUCGGGAGGAAUACCAGUGGCGAAGGCGGCCUUCUGGACUGACACUGACGCUGAGGUGCGAAAGCGUGGGUAGCAAACAGGAUUAGAUACCCUUGUAGUC